CAGUGAGACCUUUUUUAGUUCCAUGGUUGCUUCUAUUUUUUGCCUUCUAUUACUGUUGUAUUAGAUUUAUGAUAUUGGAUUAUCUUGCAGGGUUGGUGGUUUUAUAUCGUUAGAGAACUUGAUCUUUGCUAGAAAUUUUCCACAGUAUACUGUUUUCACACGUUUCACUAGCUCACACUCUCUUAGUCCCACUCAGUCUUCUUCAUGAUAUUUUAAAUUUUAAUCCAUUCUUUUACUUCCUUUGGAAGAAGAUGCUUAAGUGAAUAUGGCUUUAAAUAAUCUAAUGAUUUUUAGUUGAAUUAGUAGCUAGUAUAAUAACCAUCCAGUUGAAAUAGGCUAGUUUAAAAUGUAUGUGCAUUGUGUUCCUUGGCCAUCUUUCCAAAUUGCAUGUGUGGGCAUAUAUACUUUCUUGAUUGAAUGUCUUAUAAAGUACAAUUGUUAGUAAAACGAUCAAUAACUUAAAGACACUGUUGUUUUGUGCUCCUGGGACAUCUGUCCAAAGUGCUUGUAAGAGCAUAAAUGUGCAACUCAUUAAAGGUGUUGCAUAAAGCACUAGAUGUUUCCUACAAAGCUUUUGGUCAUCAUGUGAAUGGCUCUAAUGGGUAGUUCUGCUGCUGCUGACAAGAUGGCUUGGAGUAUGAACAUUAUAUUGUGUAUCUGUGUUUCUUAUGCAUGCAACAUUGCUUGGUUCUGUUAGGGUACAUCAUUACAUUUCAUCACAUUUGUAUUUCUGCUUGUGCUUGUGCUUGUGCUUGCCUGAGUAUACGCGUGAUACAAUUUUGCAUUCAUGUAUGAGUCACUAUUUCCCUCUGAACUGUAAUAGUUAUAAUCCCAUGCAAAAAUUUCAUUUUGAAGUCGAAUAAAUUUUCAGUUUACCUUUCAAUGCAGAAGUCCUUCCAAGAUCUUCAAAAGCAAGAAGGUGAUCGGUCAGUAUGGGAAUACCUAUUUGCUGUAGUUGGUGUCAACAUCACAUUCAUGCUCAGUCAGAUGCUUGAUCUUAAAGCAGCCCGCAAACCCCCAAAAGGAUCACCAGCAGAUCUGUGAAGUUCCAAAGCAUCAUCGUAGAAAAAACCCACAGCUACCGCCUGUGCAUAGGCUCAAGUGGGGGAAAUUAAAAGGCUGAGGCAAUGAAAGUUUCCCUUUGAACGAACUCAGGCUUGCUAACACUAGUUGGACUGGAUCAAAGAAUACUUUUAGAGAGCUUGCUGUUCAACUGGCAUUUGGGUGUUAUAUAUAAUGGUUCACCUGCCAUGACUGCUUGCCCCAACCCACAUCAGUACAUAAACUGAGAUGUCCUGAUUUGCCUCAACAUUCAGGAGCAUCACAUCUUGGAGUUUCUGAUAAAUCAAUUAUUGUCAAGAAUCCUAUGUGUCUAAUGCCUAGUAAAGCUGGUUAAUUGAAGCAAUAGAUUUUCAAUUUUUGUAGUUCCUUUAUUACAGUAGUUGGGUUUUUUUUUCCAUUGAUAAUUUCAUGUACACAUUCAUAUGUUUGACAGUAAUUACAGAAAUUUCUUACUGCGCUGUUUGCCGAUUAUGCAACACAAAUGGGAGUCUCCCAAACUUAGUUUGCUA